rnacentral:snRNA from 1 species
GGAUGUGAGGGCCAUCUGGCUGCAACAUCUGUCAUGCCAUUGAUCGCCAGAGUUGAUUCGGCUGAUCUGGCUGGCUAGGCAGGUGUCUCCUUCCUCCCUCACCACUCCAUGUCUGUCGCUCCAGAAGCUGCAUGCCUCUUCCAGGAGAAGAGGAUGACCACCCCUGGUAGAGGAGGACCGUUCUUGGGUCAAGAGUAGCUGCACUCCCCUGCUAGAACCACCAAACAAGCUCUCAAGAAGGGUUUGUCAAGUCUAGGGGAGUCCAACUGGAGCUGUUUCUGCUCAUAAAACCCAAGAAGGGAGGCUUU